rnacentral:rRNA from 1 species
UACAGAGGGGGCAAGCGUUAUUCGGAAUUAUUGGGCGUAAAGGGCGCGUAGGCGGCUUGGCAAGUGGAUGGUGAAAUCCCUCGGCUUAACCGAGGAACUGCCGUCCAAACUGCUUUGCUUGAGACCGGGAGAGGUGAGUGGAAUUCCCAGUGUAGCGGUGAACUGCGUAGAUAUUGGGAGGAACACCAGUGGCGAAGGCGGCUCACUGGACCGGUACUGACGCUGAUGCGCGAAAGCGUGGGGAGCAAACGGGG